rnacentral:tRNA from 1 species
AGUUAAUGAGCUUGAACAAGCAUAUGUUUUGAAAACAUAAGAUAGAAAUUUUCCUUUCUAUUGACUU